GACGAACGCUGGCGGCAUGCCUAACACAUGCAAGUCGAACGGAACCUUCGGGUCUAUUUGCGCUCGUCUGCGUGCCGCGUGGGAACCUACCCUUGGGUUCGGAAUACCUCCCCGAAGGGGGUCCUCAUACCGGAUAAUGUCUUCGGACCAAAGAUGUAUCGCCUUUGGGUGGGCGCGCGUUGGAUUAGCUGGUUGGUAGGGUAAAAGCAUACCAAGGCGACGAUCCAUGGCUGGUCGGUGAGGAUGAUCAGCUAGGCUGGGACUGAGGCACGGCCCAGACGGGGAGGGGAGGGAGCAGUAGGGAAUAUAGGAGGAGGGGCGAUAGUGUGAUCCAGCCAUGUGGCGUGAGUGAGGAAGGGGGUAGGGUUGCAAAGUUCUCUGACCCGGGAUGAGAAUGACAGUACCGGGAGAAGAAGCUCCGGCUAACUCCGUG
rnacentral:rRNA from 1 species